GUACAAAUAGUAUGAAAAUAUAUCAGAUUUAGGUUCUGAAGAGGGUAUUUGUAUU
rnacentral:tRNA from 1 species